rnacentral:lncRNA from 1 species
GGCCAUAGUUAAUCAUAAAAAUCAAAAACUUUUAAAAAUUUCUUAUUACAUCGAAUUUUGUGAUACAUGCAUUGAACAUUAAAUAUAGAUAAAAACAAAAACUAAUUGCACAGUUUGCUCGUAAAUCACGAAAUAAAUCUUUUAAGCCUAGUUACUCUGUGGUUGGACAAUGUUUGCCAAAUAAAAUGGAAAGUACUAUAGUUUCAAAAUUCAAAAACUUUUUACAUCUCCCACAAUGAUGCUUGUAGGUCUUGUUUAGUUCACCUCAAAUUUUUUUUUUCAAAGUUCUCUAUC